rnacentral:lncRNA from 1 species
GUCAGUGUUAUCCAUUCCUUUCAUGCGGAACAUGCCCUGCAAUUACUGGCGCCUGCACACGGACACGACAAACAUGCGCAUGCUUGCACCGCAACACCAGCCCUUGCGGCAAACUUUGCAUUUCUGGUCAUAGGCAGGCCGAUUCGCAGGCGCGUGAGGCAUCGGCUUGGCUGGGCGUGGGUUCCGAAGCGGUACGUGUGGAGUCACGCAGCACAGUGGAACGUGGCGGGGUUUAACUGGGUUUGUCGUUCUUGCCGGUUUGUCGCUAUGAUGCUGUUGCUGCCGCUGAAUGUGGCGAUAGGCGUUGCCAUUUGCUACGUGCAAAAGGCAGAAGUAGCUUGGGGACACAACUAAGAGGCGCAUAACCCGCCAGGGAGGAGGAGGGGAGCACAGGUUGGGAACCAUGAGACAGACGGGGUCAUGUGUGCGGGGCUGGAUUCCAAGGAACUGCGCUCGUGUUACCAUGGAGGCUCCAGUUUAGAGCCUUUGAAGGGGCAGCAUGGACGCAAGUGUGUUAAUAGGGCAAGCCGGCAAGGCCAUUCUCGGGCCGCCUCCCGGGCAAGUGCUCCAUCUUUUGAUGCCACAUGCGAGCGGGUGCCAAGUCACGCUCUCCUUGGCCCCGCCCAGUGUUCGAAAACCACUCCGCGUAUCGGCGUAUGUAUGCAUAUACAAUUUACCUUGAUUAUACCGUAUGCUGCUUACGAACAUAGCUGUGUCUCCUUAUUGUCCUGAAACUGUGACAGCCAAGCAAAAUUACAUCACAACCUUGUACAUCCGUGCCUCAUUCGCACAUAAAAGUGCCGCCUGCGCGGCUGCACCAAGCUGCAUUCGAUCCUCCUGCUAUUGCAUUACCGUUGUGACUAUCCCCUAGCUGACGCAAUAUCUCAAAAACGCACCACCCAAAACACAAGCGGUGCGGGGCGCUAGAGCGCACCGCCGCAUCACAUGGCGUAUGUGCAUGUGACGUAUGUGCAUGUGCAUAUGCACCCAGAACCAAUGCUAUGUGGUCUCUGCAUCAAUACGUCACUAUUGUAACAUCUGCUGCUCUCACUACUGCUGCAGCUGCUGCUCCUGCACCGGCGACCUGUACAGCGGCGGCGACAGAGGCGACACGCCC